rnacentral:rRNA from 1 species
UACAGAGGUCCCAAGCGUUGUUCGGAUUCACUGGGCGUAAAGGGUGCGUAGGCGGUCGGGUAAGUCUGAUGUGAAAAUCUCACAGCUUAACUGUGAAACUGCAUUGGAUACUAUCCGGCUCGAGGAAUGGAGGGGGGACUGGAAUACUUGGUGUAGCAGUGAAAUGCGUAGAUAUCAAGUGGAACACCAGUGGCGAAGGCGAGUCUCUGGACAUUUCCUGACGCUGAGGCACGAAAGCCAGGGGGAGCAAACGGG